UCUUUCGUGGUGUAAUGGUAACAUUGGCGCUUGUCACGCGCCCGCCCCGAGUUCGAUUCUCGGCGAGAGAG